UCUCUCCAGCCCGAGUCAAAAAGAGUCAGAAAUUCAGGCCCCUUAGGGGAGGAUUUUUCUGAGAUGCUAUUUUCUAGAGGUCCUAGAAGAAAGACAAUCGGUUGGAUGCACUCCCCUUACUCACCCCUGCUAGGAGCUCACUUUCAUCUCGGGCGGCCCAGCAGAGUCUGCCCACAAAGCAUCUCUGAUGUGGAAGAAACCAACCUACAGCGUCAGGAGCUGUACUUGGAGGAAAACUACCAAAAGACACACGCAGUUCUCCACCUCAAGUCAAUGGUCCAGGCAUAUACUCCAGCUGAAUUCAG